GUGAGGAAUAUUGAGCAAUGGGCGCAAGCCUGACUCAGCAACGCCGCGUGGACGAUGACGGCCUUCGGGUUGUAAAGUCCUUUUCUGAGGGACGAUGAUGACGGUACCUCAGGAACAAGUCCCGGCUAACUACGUGCCAGCAGCCGCGGUAAAACGUAGGGGGCGAGCGUUAUCCGGAUUUACUGGGCGUAAAGCGCAUGUAGGCGGUUGGGAAAGUUGGACGUAAAAGCUCCUGGCUUAACUGGGAGAGGUCGUACGAAACUACCUAACUUGAGGUUGGAAGAGGAGAGUGGAAUUCCCGGUGUAGUGGUGGAAUGCGUAGAUAUCGGGAGGAACACCAGUGGCGAAAGCGGCUCUCUGGACCAAUACUGACGCUGAGAUGCGAAAGCGUGGGGAGCAAACGGGAUUAGAUACCCCAGUAGUCC
rnacentral:rRNA from 1 species